rnacentral:siRNA from 1 species
UCGAUGCAUCUUUUAUAGCCAU